GUUUCGGUUACUAUUAAAAAAGUAAAAUUGAUAAAAAAAAUUGCAUAACAGUAGAAAAAAGUAAAAAAAAAACUCAAAAAGGAAAAUAAAGGAUGAAAUGCUCAAAAAGUUUAGUGAUUCUUUUAGCGAAGAAUUAAAUUUCCAAAAUGUUUUGAAGUCCAGGAGUAAUUUACAUCUGUGACACACCUUCAACUUUUGGCAAAAUUAUUAAAAUUUCGAAAACUUGGAAAUUUUUAAAGGAAAAUUGAAAGAGAAAAAUAAUUUGAAAAAUGUACGUGACACAAUUGGUGUUAUGCUUUCUUGUAAUUUUGUACUUUUUCCCCGCAAUAAUUGCAAAUUACUUGUAUUUACUUUUAUCACGGACUAUAUUUGAAUUUAUAAUUGCCAUCAUCGCUGAAUCUUCGCAGCCGUUUUAUGAAAACCUCUCGCAAUACAUGCCAGAUGUUGUGUCUUUUUUAAAAAAUGGCACGACUCCAGAUUGGUUUCAAAAAAUCAAUAAUCUCUAGUGUUCAGAAUCGAUAAAAAAAUUUUUUAUAAUAAAAAUGUUUUCUUCUAACGUUGAAAAAAAAUCAUGUUUUGUAAAAAUUGUAAAAUUGUAAAAAUUAACGAAAUUAACUAAACAGUAAAAAUUGAAGAAUUGAGUAAUUGAGGAAUUGAUAAAUGAUCAUCAAUUUUGCAAGGAAAGUGAGAAAUAAACAAUCUCGAUGAAUUAA